GUAGGGGGCCAGCGUUGUCCGGAAUUACUGGGCGUAAAGAGCACGUAGGCGGCAUGGUAAGCGGCUGGUGAAAUCCCGGGGCUCAACCCCGGAACUGCUAGCCGAACUGCCAAGCUUGAGUCCGGGAGAGGAGAGCGGAAUUCCUGGUGUAGCGGUGAAAUGCAUAGAUAUCAGGGGGAACACCCGUGGCGAAGGCUGCUCUCUGGAACGUGACUGACGCUGAGGUGCGAAAGCUGGGGGAGCGAACGGGGGAUUAGAUACCCCGGUAGUCCCAGCUGUAAACGAUGGUCACUAGGUGUUGGAGGCAUCGACCCCUUCAGUGCUGUUAUGUUAACGCGCUAAGUGACCCCGCCUGGGAGUACGGUCGCAAGGCUG
rnacentral:rRNA from 1 species